CCAUGUCUGCCUGCCUGCCGCCAUGCUCCCUGUGACAAUAGACUGAACCUCAGACACCGUGUCUGCUAGGACAACACCCCUGCCCCCACUUCAGUGGGAACUCUAGACAAGCUCUCUUUUUGGAUGGCUUGCUCUCCUGCCUUCUUCUCUUCUGGCUGCUCAGUUUGGAAGAGAAACAAUUCUACCAAGAAUGCAGGUUACCCAUCACAUGAAGUUACAACGGAGCCAUCUCCAUCUUCUCACCCCAUAAGCCAGAUGCCUGGGAUUCCUGAGACUUUCCUGUCCCUGCAACCAAUGGCCCCUAUCCUCCG